UACGUAGGGUGCAAGCGUUGUCCGGAAUUAUUGGGCGUAAAGAGCUCGUAGGCGGCCUGUUGCGUCCGCUGUGAAAGCCCGGGGCUUAACCCCGGGUCGGCAGUGGAUACGGGCAGGCUAGAGGUAGGCAGGGGAGAAUGGAAUUCCCGGUGUAGCGGUGAAAUGCGCAGAUAUCGGGAGGAAGACCAGUGGCGAAGGCGGGUCUCUGGACAGUUCCUGACGCUGAGGCACGAAGGCCAGGGGAGCAAACGGGG
rnacentral:rRNA from 1 species